CCGCGAGGAGCCAGCCGUCGAAGGUGGAGCGAGUGAUUGGGGUGAAGUCGUAACAAGGUAGCCGUAUCGGAAGGUGCGGCUGGAUCACCUCCUUU
rnacentral:rRNA from 1 species